ensembl:snoRNA small nucleolar RNA SNORA17
CUGGCCUUAAAGGUGUUGCAGGUGUGGCUGCUACAACACAUGUGUGUUAGUAGAAUUGUAAAGAAGAGAAAGACUAUGUCUAUACUCUGUAUUCAGAACGAUGAACAUCCGAAUGAUUUGUAGUCUAAAAUU